rnacentral:lncRNA from 1 species
CUGGAUAAUGCCACAUUGCAUUAAUGACUUAAGUCCAUGUUUGGUACAUAAUAGUGGAUGAUACUCAAUAAUAUAAUGAUUUUUUUAGCAAUUCCCCCCCCAAUAUAGUCCAGUUCCAUCCAACCCUUCCUACUUAGCAUGUCCUAAAAGUCAAACAGAUUGUGUGUAGAUUUUAUAGCAAUCUGUGACAUGAUAUGAUUUAUAUUGCUUUUGAUUUUCCUGUGUUAUUAGUUUUUCCACCUCCCUGGUAAUCUCUUCUAUUGUUACAGGGUGGUGAUAAACUUUGACUUUCCCACUGGAAUAGAGGAUUAUGUUCAAGAAUGGGAUGGGCAGGUGCAACUGGAGUGGCUUUUACAUUUUUCUGUGACAAGGAUGCAAAACAUGCAUUGGAUCUUCUCAAAGUUUUGAAUGGAGCAAAUCAAGGUGUCCCUGUUUAAAUUCGUCAUUUGGCUUUAUGUGGCAAUGGAAUGGGAAAGGUAAAACGCCUAUGGGGUUCAAGCCCUAGCAUACGGAGUGGAGGUCAUUUUGGACGCUAUGAUUCUGUCUAUGAUGGACGUGGCAGGUUUGUUCCUUUUAAUGUUUUGUUGGUUCUUACAGUUACUUUCACAUUUUUAAAUCAGGAAAAUCAAUGCAUUGGUCCUUAGCCUACUGUCUCAGUAGAAGGUUGCCAAUGUCCUAAAGGAGCAAGUUGCACAAUCAGCCUCCAGUGAUAAAAAUGUCUAAAAUUUUCUUAGUAGUCAGUAGUCACUUGGUGCUUUAGGAAACAUGCUUCACUUCAAAUUUCUAGGCACCAAUUUAAGUUGAGAAACAACAUAUAAUCUUGUGAAGUUGGACAUGCGAGGGUCACACCAUGAUUUAAAGGAAAAUUGUAUGGUUUCUGUAGUGGUGGCAGACCGACCGAGCGGCUCACCGAUUUGACUUGGCUCAGCCCCUGGGUUGCCUAGACUUGUAUUCAGAUGAGAGCCACGAGCUGACUCGUCUUCAACUCAUGGGUCGACUUUCUUUUUUUGAUUCGUUUUUGGUUUAUUUUAUUAAUUUUAAAAAAUAACAAAAUGAGCCGCAUGGUGCUUA